ACACGAAAGGUGCAAGCGUUGUUCGGAUUUACUGGGCGUAAAGAGAGUGUAGGUUGUUUAUUAAGUCGGAUGUGAAAUCCCGGGGCUCAACCUCGGAACUGCAUUCGAUACUGGUAGACUAGAGUUCGGGAGGGGUAAGCGGAAUUCCGUGUGUAGCAGUGAAAUGCGUAGAUAUACGGAGGAACACCUGAGGCGAAGGCGGCUUACUGGACCGAUACUGACACUGAGACUCGAAAGCGUGGGUAGCAAACAGGAUUAGAAACCCCAGUAGUCC
rnacentral:rRNA from 1 species